GUAACUUCCUCAAAAUAGUGAAGUUUUAUUCCUGAAAGUGUUCUUUGUCUCUCAUUCAAGAUCUGUUUGCUAGAACCUUCCUGAACCUUUUCCAGCGGACAACAUGCUAGAAUUAAAAAAAAACCCCUGUAUGCAUUGCUUUACAGCUAUGCUCUGUAGGGACUGGACAGGCACCGGUUUAGAAGGGAAUAGAAGGCUGGCAAACAAGACAAGAUAGAUGCCCCCUCCCAUGUGAGUUGAUUGCGUUGCCUGUCUCUGGAGAAGCCUGUGAAUGAAAACAAGUCUCUGUGUUGCAUUCAGCCAUGUUCAAUGACCAAAAAUCUCCAUAAAAGCCAGUACUGGGCCACCCAGCAGGGGCUGCAUUGACUCCUGUGGACCAUCACAGUCAACUACAAUGUCCUGUGCACCUGGAUGCAACCAGACGUCCCUGAGCAGUGAAGGCCCCGGGAACAGGGUGCUCCCAGGAAGCCAGAACAGGCCUGCAGCCAGGCCCAGGAAGAGUGGUUUGCUCUAUGAAGCAUUAAUAUUUUGAGCCAUUUCCCAGCCUGUGAUGCAACAUGAGCAGCAUUUCCAGUCCAGAGCAGGGCAUGGAGCCAGAAAAGCCCCAAGGACAAGGAGUACUGCUCUCACUGGAGUGUAAGGCAGGCAUAACUUGGUUGAAGCAGAAGUAUUUUCCACCAGGGUCAAACCUGUUUGCAAAUAGGAGGGGAAUCAAGCCAGAGGAGACACUGAAUCACUGCUAAAAAGGAUUGUGCUGGGCCUCUCCUGCUCCUUCCAUGCUUGAGGGAGAGCAAGUCUGUGCUAUGUACAGUAACGAUCCCCAUUUCAAGGGACUUCAGAGUUAACUGCAAACUUCCCUUUCCUGGCAGCUGCUGAGCCCACAAGGUCCCUGGUUCCUGGAGACCUGAAACCUAGUGUGUGACCUGACCAAGAGAAAACAGCUGUUCUAAAAAAUGGGAGGAUGGGAAAGGCAGCCAUUUUAGCAGAAAUGGUGACCACAGAGGCAGUGGGGAAGUGCUUUUCAACAUCUUUAUUAAUGAUUUGGAUGUGGGAAAGAAGAGCUCACUGGCCAAGUUCAUGGACAACACCAAGUUAUAGGGGAGCAUGUUCAUGCUUGAAAAUAGGCUGCAGAUACAGGUGGAGCUAGAUAGGCUGGUAAGUUGGGCACAUCAGAACUAGGUGAAGUUCAACACUGAGAAGUGUAAAGUUCUCCAUCUGGGGACAAACAACCCCCAACAUACUUACAGGCUCAGUUGCAACAAACUGAUUAUCACCCCGACUGAAAGGGACCUGGGGUAAUAAACCAUAGUAUUGUUGCACAAACAGCUAGUUUCGUGCCCCUGGAAGCUUUUCCAAUACACCUCAAGGAGAGAGUCACACUCAGGUUGGAUCCAUCUCAGUUUAUUGUUUGCAAACAAGUUCGACAAGG